GGGCCAGACGCUUGGCAGGGCGCCCAGGAGCCAAGGUCCUCAUGACAGGGUUGGAAAGGCCUGGGAGGGGAGCCAGGAGCCUGAGACCAGCUCAGCAGGUCCUGGCCGUGUGACCCAGAGGAAGUCACCCCAUCUCGCCUGCUAACCAGAUGACUAACAGCAGCAGCAAUCAUAUUGCCUAAUUUGCUACCUCACAGGAGUGUGGGAGAAGAUCAAACAGAGAAAUGAAUGAGAAGCAUUCUUUCCACAAAUAUUUGUUGAACACCUACUGUGCUCGAGGCUUGUGGAGGACCAAGCGGGGAACAAGCUGGCAUAAUCCUUCUCCCUAGGAAUGUACAGUCAACAGGGAAGCCAGAAAUGAAGGGAUUGCUACAAAGUGUGCAAGUGCCUCCCUCUGCUGAGGAUUGGGGCACAUGAUGGCAGAGGCAUCUCUGCAAAUCCUGACAAUCUCACAGGUCAUCCCUGCUUUGCCUCCUUUGAGUCUUCAUUUAUGAAAUGGACUGGGUUUUUGUUGUUGUUGUUGUUUUAGAUGGUGUCUCGCUCUGUUGCCCAGGCUGGAGUGCAGUGGCGUGAUCUCGGCUCACUGCAACCUCCGCCUCCCGGGUUCAAGCAAUUCUCCUGCUUCAGCCUCCCGAGUAGUUGGGAUUACAGGUGUAUGCCACCACACCUGGCUAAUUUUUGUAUUUUUAGUAGAGACGGGGUUUCACCAUGUUUGCCAGGCUGGUCUCGAACUCCUGACCUCAGGUGAUCCGCCCACCUUGGCCUCUCAAAGUGCUGGGAUUAUAAGGCGUGAGCCACUGAGCCCAGCCUGGACUGUUUUUUGUUUUUGAGACAGGGUCUCACUCUGUUGCCUGGGCUGGAGUGCAGUGCUGUGAUCAUGGCUCACGGUAGCCUCGAACUCCUGGGCUCAGGUGAUCCUCCCACCUCAGCCUCCUGAGUAGCUGGCACUACAGGAGCACACCACCACCACCAUGCCCCGCUAAUUUUUAAUUUUUUACAGACAGGGUCUCACUAUGUUGCCCAGCCUGGUCUUGAACUCCUGGGCUCAAGCAAUCCUGCCUCAGCCUCUCAAAGUGCUGGGAUUACAGGGGUGAGCCACUGCACCUGGCCUUGAAAUGGACUUUGAAGUGAGCAUCAAGAUAUACCUUCCUCACGACGCUGGUGUAAGGAUUGAGCUCAUGCAUGUGAAAGGGCUUAGCACCGAGCCAGACACCUCUAAGACAUCGCUGGAUGGCGGUGAUUGUUCAUGCGCGACCUUGCCACUGGGCACCUGGGGAUGCAGGCAUGACAUUGUCCUUCAAAGAGACAGGGAUGAGGAGCAUGUGUCUGGCACCUGGAGAUCACAUUCCCUUCCUCCCUCAGGGCCUAUAUUUGCCCACACAUACACGAUUGCGUGGGGACGUUAAAAGGUUCGAAAGCAGAUAUUCCAAACUGGUAACAGGGUGAGAAAUGAGGGUAAUUAUGAGCCCAGUCAUCUACUUUUAUGUUUUAUCUUUUAUAUAUUGUUUGAACAAUAGAUCACUUUUUGUUUUUCUUUAUUACGGUAAAAUACGCGUGACAUUAAAUGUUCCAUUUGAACCAUUUUUAAGUGUAUGGUUCGGUGGCAUUAAGUACGUUCCCAAUGUUGCAACCGCUACCACCACCUUCCCCAGUGAAACUCUGUCCCCAUUAAACACUAACUCUCCCUUUCCCCUUCCCCAGCCCCUGGCAACAUUUAUUCUACUUUCUGUCUCUACAAAUUUGACUCGUAUAAGUGCAAUCACACAGUAUUUGUCCUUUUGUGUCUGGCUUAUUUCACUUAACAUAAUAUCCUCAAGUUCACUCACAUGGGAGCAUAUAUCAG
rnacentral:lncRNA from 10 species